CGUAGGUAACCUGCCUUGUAGCGGGGGAGUAACUAUUGGAAACGAUAGCUAAUACCGCAUAACAAAUGGAUGACACAUGUCAUUUUAUUUAAAAGGGGGACGAAAUUGCUCCACUACAAGAUGGACCUGCGUUGUAUUAGCUAGUAGGUGAGGUAACGGCUCACCUAGGCGACGAUACAUAGCCGACCUGAGAGGGUGAUCGGCCACACUGGGACUGAGACACGGCCCAG
rnacentral:rRNA from 1 species